GUCUCUGUGGCGCAAUAGGUAUGAGUGGUCUGCUCUCAAUAGCCAAUGAGACAUAAACUAAUCCAGUAUCAACAGGUUAGCGCGUCUGACUGUUAAUCAGGAGGUUGGAAGUUCGAGCCUUCCCAGGGACG